UUCUCAUUUCUUAAACCCCUUCUCACAAGCUCUCAUUUCACGCUCUCAACAUUCUUUGAAUGGACAAGAAGAACGCCGCUGCAGCCGGUGGUGAUCCGCCGCCGGAGAAAUCCUCCUCCGCCGCCACAGGAGCUGAAGAACCGUCGGAGAGUGGGUGGACGGAGUAUCUAGAGGAUUAUUUGUGGUCGGAAAUUGAGAGAAAAAACAGUUUUUUGUGUUGUUCAAGUAGUGGGAGCUGUAGUUGGGACAUUUCAGAAGGCAAUAAGGAAAAAAUCAAUGCUUUAACCCCAUUUUGUAGCGUUGGGGAGGCGAUUUUGGAUGCCCCAAACAAGCUAAGCUUCAAAAAAACAACAACUCAGACGAUUUUUUACGAUGAUUCCUUAGAAGAUACGGCCACUUCUCCUGUUCUAACUCCAAAAGUUGCUGAUUUGAACGUAUGAACAACCCAUCUAAAUCCUAGGAUCGAUGAACAUGUCGUGAUCAGUAACUCCACGGGCAGCAAUGGCCAUUGGGGAAUUAUGAUUCAAAACCCAGAAAAAGCUGCAGAGAAGCAAAGGAAAAAAGGGCUGUGUUUGAGUCCAAUUUACAUGUAAUUUGAGCUCUCGAACUCAACUCAAACUCGCUAUUGUAAUCUAUAAUUCUCUCGUUUCGUUCAUUGUUUUGGAUUAUUCGAGUAAUCAAGUUUUUCUCUUUCACCCAGUACCCGAUACGAGAUUUCUAUUCACGAGUUAAUAAACGAGUCUUGUUCGUUA